rnacentral:lncRNA from 1 species
CCAAAGGAAUUUAGCCCCAUCCCACAAGCGUUUGGGAGAAGGAAAUGGAAGUAACAAUCGGCCAACGCCAUAUAUUGCAAUGGAAAAGAAAUGAAAUGCUAAGCUUAAUGGAGAAGGGCAUAAACCAGAGAGCAUAGCGGAUGCUCCAUAUGAAAACAUCCCUCCAAGUCUCAAAUACCCCAAAAAGGUGUGCUGCAGAUUCUCCAUUGCUGGAUUGGACGAGGCACUGAAUACCUUCUGUAGGACAUUAGCCAGUAUAUUUAUUGUAGAUGACAUUGGCUGCAUGUAGUUAAAGGGCAAAAUUAUACCGUUUUCAUCAUUGCCAUUCACUUUCAAAAUGCAUAUAAAACAUGAAACUACAAUACCUUCCUCAGAGUAUAAAAGGAUUCGAGAUAUUUGGAAAUGGUGAAUGCAUCGGAUAGAUCAUGCAAGGGUCUUAGAAGAUCCCUAAGUAUUACGACAUCAGACAGAGCAACAGUCAUUCCCCCUCCGGUUAUAGCGUGCCGCAUGUUGAGUGCAUCUCCAAUCAGAAGCGCACCAGGAGUCAGGUGUGGAGCAGCAGCCAUGAUUUUCGCCGGCAUUAUUCUUAUGUUACCCUUCUUCUCUAUUGCAGACAUAAAGGAAUUGUACAAUUCAGGAAGAACCUGAAAUAUAUUAUAAGCCAUACAGUUAGUCCAUAAAUUAAGCCAAAUUCCCCUACUGAAUGAAUAAAAAAAAGAUCUAAAUAUACCUUGGGAGCCACCUGAGUUUUCAAAUAACAUGCCAUUUCACCAUUGGAAACUGAAGGUACCUUUUCACUAGGAACAUCCACCAUGCAACGAAUUUCAGUGCUGCUAACUGGAUACAAUAGGAUUGGUGAAGGGUGUCCUAAUAUAAUAGCUCCAUAAUUUUUUUUGGAAGGUUACAGUUUGUCAGUGUAAGACCAACAAGAUAAGAGGGUAUAUCAACCUGCAGAAAAAAAAAUAUAGACCUUUAUAUAUUUUCUCUAAGCAUAGAAUUUAAGAAGUCUAAUAAAAGUUUUAGUCCUCCUAUUAUCCUAAAAUUGGAAUUUAAUCCAUUUUCUUUAAUUUGGAGAAAAUUUUUUUUUAUGUGGUUGAAUAUGGUUGAUUGAAAUUUUAUGUGGUCUAACAAAAAGCAACUAAUGAUGUUAUCAUUUUGGACAUUAUAAAAACAUUAUAAAAAAAUAAAUGAAUCAAAUUAAGCCAAAUUAAAGUAGAAUGUUGAAAUAUAAAAUUAGAGAGACGAAAACUAUAACUAGACUAAUUUAACACUAAUUCUUAAGCAUUUUUACCUUAGGAUAACAAAGAGAGCGUCUCAAAUUUGAGAAACAACCAUUGCAUACAAUUGUGAGAGGAGGGUAAGCUGUCAACACUUGACCACUCUUAUUUUUGUAGUGCACUCCUUUGACAAUACCGUUUUCUUCAAUCAGAGAUGUUACUGUCCCUUGUUCUAGAGUUACUGUUGCGCGGAAGCGUGUAAAAGAGUAAAAUUAUUGUACUAAAAAAUCACACUAAGUUCAAUUCCCAGAAAAGAGAGGUGGAUCACGAGUAUCGCUUAAGUACCAAGUCUUUCCUAGCCAGAAAGAUAAAAAAGACUUUAGAAAGCUAACUCAUUUUUGUUUGGUAGGCAAUAUAAAUUUAUUGAAAAUAAAUCUCUUAUAACAGUGUUACAAAUUCACCUUCAACAUGGACUACACCAGCAAAGCACCUAAACAAAUAAUAGCUAGAGUUUCAGUCAUGCAAAAGCCAACUCAUUUAUUUACCAUUUUAAAUAUCACACAUACAAAAGAUUAUCCAGCCUACGUAAGAAUGCUAGUAACAGAUGUGAGAUUUUGUUAAGAACAUAGAAUUGUUCCAACAAAGACUGCUAAUUAAUGCAUGAAGUUUCUUUUGGGACCCUUUUUAGGGGGAGUUCUAUAAUAUGCUGGCACUGUUAGAGGGAAAAACAUUUGUCUGAUUCCUUCAGAGUAUAUGUAGGGGAGAAGAAUACUUGAUGCCACCUGAAAAACAAGAAAAUAUUUGUAUUAAUAUGAAUCUAUAUCAUAAUCAUAUUUAAGAUCUUAUAUAUUUAUAUCAUGUUAAUAUAUAAAUGUUUGGUAAAGAUACUGACCCAAAGGAAUUUAGCCCCAUCCCACAAGCGUUUUGGAGAAGGAAACGGAAGUAACAAUCGGCCAACGCCAUAUAUUGCAAGGGAAAAGAAAUGAAAUGCUAAGCUUAAUGGACGAGGGCAUAAACCAGAGAGCAUUGCUGAUAUUCCAUAUGAAAAGACCCCUCCAAGUCUCAAAUACCCGAGAAAGGUGUGCUGCAGAUUCUCCAUUGCAGGAUUGGACGAGGCACUGAAUACCUUCUGUAGGACAUUAGCCAGUAUAUUUAUUGUAGAUGACAUUGGCUGCAUGAAGUUAAAGAGCAAAAUUAUACCGUUUUCAUCAUUGCCAUUCACUUUCAAAAUG